CUACAGAGGGUGCGAGCGUUAAUCGGAAUUACUGGGCGUAAAGCGCGCGUAGGCGGCUACUUAAGUCAGAUGUGAAAUCCCCGGGCUCAACCUGGGAACUGCAUCUGAUACUGGGUAGCUAGAGUUUUGGAGAGGGAAGUAGAAUUUCAGGUGUAGCGGUGAAAUGCAUAGAGAUCUGAAGGAAUACCAGUGGCGAAGGCGACUUCCUGGCCAAAAACUGACGCUGAGGUGCGAAAGCGUGGGUAGCAAACGGGAUUAGAAACCCCAGUAGUCC
rnacentral:rRNA from 1 species